UACGUAGGGUGCAAGCGUUGUCCGGAAUUAUUGGGCGUAAAGAGCUCGUAGGUGGCCUGUCGCGUCGGCUGUGAAAACUCGGGGCUCAACUCCGAGCUUGCAGUCGAUACGGGCAGGCUAGAGUUCGGCAGGGGAGACUGGAAUUCCUGGUGUAGCGGUGAAAUGCGCAGAUAUCAGGAGGAACACCGGUGGCGAAGGCGGGUCUCUGGGCCGAUACUGACACUGAGGAGCGAAAGCGUGGGGAGCAAAAGGG
rnacentral:rRNA from 1 species